GACCUCGGUAGCUUAGCGGUUCCAAGCAGUGGGGCGUAAACCUGAAGUCCUGGGUUCAAAUCCCAGUCGAGUUCA